UUCUUUCCCAGUGAAUUGUGGGAGAAUUUUUCUGUCCUUCCGGGCACCCAGAGGGAAGGCAUUGGAUGACUAGCAGCACUUGAGUGAGUUAGCCUGCAUCCUCCCUGCAAAGUGGGUGAAUUAUCAGCCAGAGUGAAUGUGGAUCUUGGGCUCUAACCCACACCCCCAGCCAGGUGGAACUAGCCUAGGCUGAAAGCACCACCCAACUCAGACUGAAAACUCUUUGGAGUGUGGAUCGUCUUUUUGUUCAGUGUUUGUACAGGAUGUGGUAUGCUGUGGGACCAGGACCAUGACUGGGGAUCUGACCUAGGCACUACUGCAAUAGAAGUAAUAAAAUGCUAACAGAUGGGCCCAACAGUGAAUAUAAAGACUAUAACUCAGUGAAGGAACAUUCCUGGCAUCCUAAUAUCAAAAGCUUAACUCCAGAUGUUUAGAAAAUGCAGCAGAACUCCAGGAGAGGAGGCAGCCACGUCUGCUUUCCAAGUCUUCAACGUAUAAGGAGAUUGAUUUGAUGCUCAUUAAGCUCCUAGAGGCCU